GAUGAGCCAAGAUUGGCACCCUUUAAGGUGCUAGCAAGUAUUAAACUGAAGAGUUUGAUCAUGGCUCAGAUUGAACGCUGGCGGCAGGCUUAACACAUGCAAGUCGAGCGGGGGAGGUUGCUUCGGUAACUGACCUAGCG
rnacentral:rRNA from 1 species